UACGAAGGGGGCUAGCGUUGUUCGGAUUUACUGGGCGUAAAGCGCACGUAGGCGGAUCGUUAAGUCGGGGGUGAAAUCCUGGAGCUCAACUCCAGAACUGCCUUCGAUACUGGCGAUCUUGAGUCCGGAAGAGGUGAGUGGAACUCCUAGUGUAGAGGUGGAAUUCGUAGAUAUUAGGAAGAACACCAGUGGCGAAGGCGGCUCACUGGUCCGGUACUGACGCUGAGGUGCGAAAAGCGUGGGGAGCAAACAGGG
rnacentral:rRNA from 1 species